rnacentral:pre_miRNA from 3 species
GCUGUAAAUUGUAAUCAUCAAAGCGUUUUCUCAGAGCCGCUUGGUGUUACUUCUUACAGUGA